CAUAAAAUUAGGUGUUUCAUCUUCUGUUCUUUUGUUUUAGGAGAAAAAUGUAAGAAUGUGUUAUAGUCUCUUCUAACUUGUAAAUUGGUAGCCAGACACUCUGACCAGAUGGCAACACCCCAGUGAAUAAGGUUAUCUGAAGUUGGAGUUCUUCAUGCUCUGUGGAAACUGUAGUAUAUAGAACUCCAGCAUUUUCCUGACAAACAUCAAAGCUACUUUGGAUCUGGGGUUGACUUCACGUCCCUCAAAGAGCAUUUCAAAUGGCAAUCUUCAGACUGCAAAGAAAACUUGGGGUCUCUCUACCCAAUUAUUCUGCACCAGGACUGCUCAGCCACUGUCCGAGAUGAUCAAUCCUGAACCUAACACCAUAAAAUAUUCAAUCGCUCCAUACCUUGGCCUGCUCUCUGGGCAUUCCCAAAAGCUAUUAGGCAGGGCCGAGCAAGACACAGUGGGAAGGAGGACUACUCAGUUUCACAUGUUAAACCUCCAGUGAGAUGAAGAGGGUUCUGCACUAAGGUCCUGUGCCUUACUCCAAGAAGUGUUUCUCACCAGCGAUUAACAGGAUGCAACACACAAAAAGGGCUAGUGAAUCUGUUUGUUACAGUCUACUUACUAAGGCUAUGGCUACAAUACUCCAGUGCUGAAGUCAGUGAAAAGGCAUCAUCCAAACACAAUCCAAGGAAAAUGCAAGCUGAUACAGCACAAAGAUGCUUUGUUUAAGAAUGGCAGAAAUUUCCAGCAACUAUCUGGGAGAAAAAAAAUGCAGGAUGGGAGGGAAUGUAAUCAAAUAACAAAACAAACCCAAACUAAAAGAGAAUCUUUAUAAACCAGCACAAGGACACUUUGUUUUUAAGUGCACACAAUGAAUUUUAAAGAUCUUUGUUCAGAAGGGAAAUAAAGUAUUAUGAAGGACUGACACAUUUGAUGGAUGGAUGGUUUCUGAAAAACCACAUUAUCAAUUACUUUUUCCUUGUUUGGCUCCAGUCCAGUAAUUUUUAUUUGAACAAGCCACAUGCUAGCAUGGUUUUGAUUGCAGGAAGUGACUGGUUGUUGUUAAAGGAUACUAUUUCACUGAUGAGCUUAUCUCUUCCUUCCCCCUCCCCUUUCUGAUGGGACUCCGAUAUGAAAGGCACAGCUUCAGUUGUUAUAAACAGAGUCAGGGAUUGUUUGAUAGACCCACCCGUGUUUUGCUUUCAGCCUUCUGUGGUACAAUCCAGACAAUGUAUUCAGCAGGGCUUCAGAAAAAAACAGUUGAA